rnacentral:tRNA from 1 species
UCCCUCGUGGCUCAGUGGUAAAGAAUCUGCCUUCAAGGUAGUAGAUCCAGGUUCAAUCCCUGGGUUGGGAA